CGGUCGUACCUCCACACGAUAUUCAUGCUCGAGUGGACGUUCUUCCUGUGGCUGCUGGGGAAAACAGUCGGCUUCUCGUGAAGACGAGGGACUGUAUGCACCAAGGUUCUAUUCUGUUCCAUGUUUUUUUGCUGUUGUGCUCCGUUUGAUCCUUGUGUGAAAAGAGAAGGAGUAGGGUUUUUUGUGUGCGCGUGCGGGUGGCACGUGAGUGGUGUGCACUUGUUCGUGUGUGUAUGCUAGCAGCGAUUUGGUAUGCUGAUGAUCCUGUAAAUUAUCAUGGGUUGAUUGCAUGUGGAUGUAAGGUCUAUGUACAGUGAUUAGAGCAUCUCUAUCUAGCAGACCUCGUAAAAGGGCCGAACCCGUAUAAUUCCGGCGAGUAUACGAGUUCUGCUCGUUUUUCUAGCCAGAGUAGACACCGUAUCCGUGGCCUGGCCCGUAUGGCCCGCAAAAAGUCUCUCCCCACCGCUAUAUAUGCGGUUUCACUGCUCGGAUACGGGUCAAACCUCGUAAAAGGGCCGAACCCGUAUAAUUCCGGCGAGUAUACGGG
rnacentral:lncRNA from 1 species